rnacentral:rRNA from 1 species
GACAGAGGGGGCAAGCGUUGCUCGGAAUCACUGGGCGUAAAGGGCGCGUAGGCGGGAUGGCAAGUCGGUCGUGAAAUCCUUCGGCUCAACCGAAGAACGUCGGCCGAUACUGCCGUUCUUGAGGGAUGCAGAGGAGAUUGGAAUUCUCGGUGUAGCGGUGAAAUGCGUAGAUAUCGAGAGGAACACCUGCGGCGAAGGCGGGUUGCUGGGCUGACACUGACGCUGAUGCGCGAAAGCUAGGGGAGCGAACGGG